UUUNNAUGACGCUGGCGGCUGGCCUACCAUNCAAGUCGAACGGUAGCACAGAGAGCUUGCUCUCGGGUGACGAGUGGCGGACGGGUGAGUAAUGUCUGGGAAACUGCCUGAUGGAGGGGGAUAACUACUGGAAACGGUAGCUAAUACCGCAUAACGUCGCAAGACCAAAGAGGGGGACCUUCGGGCCUCUUGCCAUCAGAUGUGCCCAGAUGGGAUUAGCUAGUAGGUGGGGUAACGGCUCACCUAGGCGACGAUCCCUAGCUGGUCUGAGAGGAUGACCAGCCACACUGGAACUGAGACACGGUCCAGACUCCUACGGGAGGCAGCAGUGGGGAAUAUUGCACAAUGGGCGCAAGCCUGAUGCAGCCAUGCCGCGUGUAUGAAGAAGGCCUUCGGGUUGUAAAGUACUUUCAGCGGGGAGGAAGGCGAUAAGGUUAAUAACCUUGUCGAUUGACGUUACCCGCAGAANAAGCACNGGCUAACUCCGUGCCAGCAGCCGCGGUAAUACGGAGGGUGCAAGCGUUAAUCGGAAUUACUGGGCGUAAAGCGCACGCAGGCGGUCUGUCAAGUCGGAUGUGAAAUCCCCGGGCUCAACCUGGGAACUGCUUCNAACNGGCAGGCUGGAAUUCUUGUAAAAGGGGGGUAAAAUUCCAGGUGUACCGGUGAAAUGCCNUAAANAUCUGGAAGGAAUACCCGGNGGGCNAANGGCGGCCCCCNUGGACNAAAAACUGACCCUUCAGGUGCCAAAACNUUGGGGAGCAAACNGGAAUUNAAUCCCC
rnacentral:rRNA from 1 species